rnacentral:rRNA from 1 species
AAGCGCUUGUGACCAGACUUGGGCCCGAUUAAUCAUCCAGCGUUCUCGCUGGUGCACUUGGUCGGCCCAGGCCAGCAUCAGUUCGGCGCGGGGGAUAAAGGUUUCGGGAAUGUGGCUCCCUCGGGAGUGUUAUAGCCCGUUGCGUAAUACCCUGCGCUGGACUGAGGUUCGCGCAUCUGCAAGGAUGCUGGCGUAAUGGUCAUCAGCGA